UAGAGCAGGGCUGCUGUGCUCCCAGGAGCACGGAGGUCUCCGUGCUCCUGAGCUAUUUUCGAAGAUAAAAUUUUCGAAUCAACGAUUGGUUCUGUUAGACUUGAUUUAGGGUAUUUGAAGUUUCUAGAAAAUAAUUUUUACAAUUUUUUGAUAUCUUUUACCUAGUGAUCAAAAGAAUUCAAAAUUAAUCAUUUUUAAUGGUUGAUAUCUGUCAUUUCCAAAUUUAACGGUAUAGAAGUAUUCAAAUCAGAUAAAAUUUUGAUACAAAAUUCUUUAUACUAUUUACAAUAAGAUCAAUAUUUCUGAUCGAAAAUUUUAGUAAUAUAUCACCACUUUUUAUAGAAUUUUUAUUUUCAGCCGUUAAAAAUUAUUGAUUUUGAAUCCUUUCAAUUGCUAGGCAAAUGAUAUCGAAAAAUCGCAAAAAUUAUUUUCUAGAAACUUCAAAUACGUUAGAUCAAGUCUAACGGAGCCGAUCGUCGAUUCGAAAAUUCCAUCACCGAAAACGGCUCAGGAGCACGGAGGCCUUCGUGCUCCUGAGAGCACAGCAAUCCUUAUAUAUAUAUAUAUAUAUAUAUAUAGAGAGAGAGAGAGAGAGAGAGAGAGUGAGUCCGGCUAUAGUAUUUUUAUGAGUAUAGUUUUUUUUAUACUCAUAAAUUUUCGACUGUAAAUCUAUCAUUUUAAUCAUUUUUAUCCGUUAGAUCAUACUAUUUAACCAACAACUCAUUCAAUCUUAGAACUUCAUUUGGUUCGGGUAUAAGUAAGAACUAUUUAUUUCAAAAAUAAGUAUAAGUUUAGACCAAUUUUACGUUUGGAUAAAGAUCGAAUUAUUUUCUGGAAUAAGAAAAAUAACGUUUAAAUAGAUAAAAUAGAAUAAGAAGAAUGGUGAAUACUUAUAAAUAGAAAAUAUGGAAUAAGAAGAAUGGUGAAUAGUUGUAAAUAGAAAAUAAUGGAAUAAGAAGAAUGGUGAGUAGUUAUAACUAGAAAAUAAUGAUAUUGCCCCUUAUAUUAUAUUUGAAUUUGAAUUUUUAAAUUUUAUAUUUAAUUUUUUAAAUUUAAAUAUAUAACUUUUAAAUUUUAAAAAUUUAAAAUUUAAAUUUAAAUUUUUAAAUCUCAAAUUCAAAAAUUCAAUGUUCUAAUUUUUAAAUUUUAAAUUUUAUAUUUAAGAUUAAAUCUAAAUUUAAAAAUCUAAGACAUUACAUUUUAAUUUUAAAAAUUUUAAAAUAUCAAUUUAAAAUUUAAUAUUUAGAAUUUAAAAUUAUAAAAUAUUAAUUUUAAGAUUAAAAAAUAUAAAAUUUAAAAUUUAAAAUUUAAAUUUAAAUUUUUAAAUUUUUAAAUUUAAAUUUUUUUAAAAAUUAAAUAGGGAUGGGAACAGCUAUUCCAACUGUUCCCACCCCUAUUUCUAUCCCCCAAUUUUCCAACCAAACGCCACCUAGGGGACCACUAUCAUUCUAAUCCCCAACCAAACGCUAUAUAUAUAUAUAUAUAUAGAUAGAUAGAUAGAUAUAUAUCCCAAUAAUAUGAAAAUACUUAUAUCUGAGAAAAUAUAAGUAUUUAAAGAUCGACAACUUACUUCUCUACACGCCAAUUCUAUCAUUAUUAAGAGCUAAUCUUACUAUCACCAGAGGAUCUACNUUUAAAUUAAAAAGUGAAAUUUAAAUUAGAGAAAUUUUAUAUUAUUAUUUAAAGUUUAAAUUCAAUGAUCAUAUUGUCAAAUCAUUUGAAAUUUUCCUUAUAUGAAAUGCCAAAUUAUAAAAGGAAAGAUAGAGAGAGCAAAAGGAAACAAAGAAAAAAUAAAAAUUUUGAAACUAUAGUAGAUGUAAAAUGACUAAAUUGCCCAUGUAUUAAAAGACAAAAAUAUCCUUUUUUAAGGUACCUGGUAACCGAUAGCUCUUCCAAAGUGACCUGCUAUUACAGGUCACAAUUUUAAAAAAAUUAAAUCUGAGUCGUUGAAUACGCGUGAAUGAACGAUAAUAAAAAAAAAAAAAGUAUAGAAACAUUACUCAUAAAAUAUAU
rnacentral:lncRNA from 1 species